AAAGGUUGCUCAUUUCUCUGGUCAGGAAUGAUGUCUCCUCUGCAGCGGAAGGUUGGAUUCAGAAGGAUGACUCCAGGUGGUCAGUUGCUUGCUUUCCUCCAAUGUUUUUCUUUCUCUCUCUCUCUUCUCUAGUAUGUUGGCCAACACACACCUUCUAGCUCUCGCGGUCUGUCCUUGCCUUUCCUCGUGUUGUCUCCUUUCGUAAGACACAGGCAGCCGUGUAACGUGUGUAUCCCCACAGGCUAUGUCUCGGGAGCCAUGGAGAAGUAGGAGGGGACGAAAAUCAUGCACGGCUGUGACUGUCGAUGUUAUCUCAGUCUCUGUUUGUCGAGUGGGGCUGAGGUAGAUGGGAUUGGAGAAGGAGGCCAGGAGGAGGGCAAGAUUUGAAGCACCAAUAGAGGUUUGUGUAGUGAUGACUCAUGCUUGGCUUUUGCAGCUGCGCUUCCAGAGGAAUUUUCCAGGAGCCCUAUCUCAAGAAGAAACUGGGAGAAGUGGACAUGAGCAGACUGGACAUCCCUGUAAGCAGACAUGAACAUCCUUGUCAGCAGACAUGAACAGUCCUCAACUUUCUGGCUCCCGCAUAACUGGCUGUGAGUAAGCGUACCCUGGGAAAAGAAAUCAAACGUCAGCGUUUACUCCCCUUGUCGGAUGGAAAGCGAGCAAGAGCAGUGAGCCUGCGAGCAUUGUUGACGCAAGUCAGGAGCCGUCCAGUUGGCAGUGGAGCAGUCGCUACCGUCAGUGAGAUAAGUGUGUGGUUUGGUGAGGGUUCUGCGUAGGGCCCCAAUGGCUCCAGGUAGGGACGCCCCGUUAGCUGGGGCUGGGUUUGUAAGAAAUGGUUCCUAAGCAGCUGUGGUUACGAGAGAGAUAAGGUCCCCAUUUUCAGGGACUGCUCAUUUCUCUGCCCAGAUGCGGUGUGUCCUCGGAAGCAGAAGGUUGCAUCCAGGAGGAUGAAUCCAGGUGGUGAGUUGCUUGCCUUCCUUCCAUUUUUUUCUCUCUGUCUCUUUCUCUCUCUCCUCUAGUGUGUUGGCCAACUUUCUCACUCUCUUUCCUCUCCUCUCCUCCUCGUGCCGUCUCCCUUCGUAGGACCACGGGCAUCCGUGCUAGGUGUGCAUCCUAGCCAGGUCUCGGGAGCCACGGAGAAGUAGGAGGGGACGAAAAUCAUGCAGGGCUGUGACUGUUGGUGUUAACUUGGUCUCUGUUCAUCGAGUGGGGCUGAUGUAGAUGGGAUUGGAGAGGGAGGCCAGGAUGAGGGCAAGAUUUGAAGCGACAUAUAGAGCUUUAAGUAGUGAUGCCUCAUACUUGGCUUUUGCAGCUGCAUUUCCAGAGGAAUUUUCCAAGAGCCCUAGCCCGAGGAGUAAGUGGCAGAAGUGGACAUGAGCAGACUGGACAUCCUUGUAAGCAGAUAUGAACAGUUCUCAGCUUUCUGACUCCCGCAUAACUGGCUAAAUGGUUCCUGCCCAGCUGUGUUUAGGAGAGAGACAAGGUCCCCUUUUUCAGGGGCUGCUCAUUUCUCUGGCCAGGAGCGGUGUCUCUUCCGCAGCAGAAGGUUGCAUCCAGGAGGAUGACUCCAGGUGGUGAGUUGCUUGCCUUCCUCCCAUGUUUUUCUCUCUCUUUCUCUCUUCUCUAGUACGUUGGCCAACACACACCCUCUCUCUCUGUCUGUCCUUGCCUUUCCUUGUGCUGUCUCCCUUCAGAAGACACGGGCAGGCGUGCUAGGUGUGCAUCUGCAGAGGCCAGGUCUCAGGAGCCAUGGAGAAGUAGGAGCGUACGAAAACCAUGCAGGGCUGUAACUGUCAGUAUUACCUUGGUCUCUGUUCAUCGAGUGGGGCUGAUGUAGAUGGGACUGGAGAGGGAGGCAGGGAUGAGGGCAAGACUCGACGCCCCAAUAGAGCUCUGUGUAGUGAUAGUUCUUGCUUGGCUUUAUUAGUUUGCGGAGGAAUCGUCCAGGAGCCCUAGCCGGACAAGAAUAUGGCAGAAGUGGACCUGAGCAGUCUGGACAUCCUUCUAAGGAGACAUGAAUAGUCCUCAUGUUUCUGCCUUCUGCAUCGCUGGCUGUGAGUAAGAGGUUUAGAACCAAGGAAAACGAAGUCACCCGUCAGAGUCUAUUGCCCUCGUGAUGGAAAGCCAGCGAGAGCGUUGAGACUCUGAGCAUUGUUGAUGCCACGCAAAAGCCAUCCAUCUGGGAGCCGAGGAGAUGCCGCUGUCAGUGAGAUAAGUGUCUUGUUUCAUGAGGGCUCUGCUCACGCCCAACCUGAGUCCAGGUAGGGAAGCCCACUAAGUUAGGGCUGGGUUUGUAUGAAAAGGUUCCUGACUAGCUGUGGUUACAAGGGGGAAAAGGUCCCUACUUUCAGAGCUUGCUCAUUUCUCUGGUCAGGAACAGUGUCUCCUCCGCAGCGGAAGGUUGGAUUCAGGAGGAUGACUCCAGGUGGUGAGCUGCUUGCUUUCCUCCCAUUUUUUUUUUUCUCUCUCUCUCUGUCUCUCUCCUCUUGUGUGUUGGCCAACUUUCUCACUCUUUCCUCUCCUGUCCUCGUGCCGUCUCCCUUCGUAGGAGACGGGCAGGCUUGCUCGGUGUUCAUCCCCGCAGGCCAGGUCUCGGGAGCCAUGGAAAAGUAGGAGGGGACGAAAAUCAUGCAGGGCUGUGACUGUUGGUGUUAACUUGGUCUCUGUUCAUCGAGUGGGGCUGAUGUAGAUGGGAUUGGAGAGGGAGGCCAGGAUGAGGGCAAGAUUUGAAGCGACAUAUAGAGCUUUAAGUAGUGAUGCCUCAUACUUGGCUUUUGCAGCUGCACUUCCAGAGGAAUUUUCCAAGAGCCCUAGCCCGAGGAGUAAGUGGCAGAAGUGGACAUGAGCAGA